rnacentral:rRNA from 1 species
AAGGUUUCCUGAGGAAGGGUCGUCCGAUCAGGGUUAGUCGGGACCUAAGCCGAGGGCGAGAGGCGUAGGCGAUGGACAACAGGUAGAGAUUCCUGUACCAGUGCUAAUUGUUUAACCGAUGGGGUGAAACAGAAGGAUAGGGAAUCGCACGAAUGGAAAUGUGCGUCCAAGCAGUGAGUGUGAGAAGUAGGCAAAUCCGCUUCUCGCGAAGCAUGAGCUGUGAUGGGGAAGGAAAUUAAGUACGGAAGUUCCUGA